AUCUUUAAAAACUAAAGAAUUUGGCGGUAUUUUAGUCUGUUCAGAGGAACCUGUUUCGUGAUUGAUAGUCCACGAUUAUUAUUACUUUUAUUUUGAAUUUGCAUAUCGUCGUUUUAAAAAUUUUAAAGUUUAAUUUUUUCAGAUCAAGGUGUAGUUUAUAUAAAAGGGAAAAUGGGUUACAUUUAGAAUUUUCAUUAAAUUGGAUUUGGUAGUAAGCUCUAAAAUAUGCACAUAUCGCCCGUCGCUUUCACUUUAAGGUGAAAUAAGUCGUAACAAAGUAGAUCUAUUGGAAAAUGGAUCUGGAAAGCGAAUUAUAGCUUAAAAAGCGUUUUAUUUACAUUAAAGAGAUGAUUGUGAAAUUCAAUUUAAUUUGAUAAGAAGAGGUUAAUUAAUUUGGAUAUUAUUAUUUAUUGAUGGAAGAAUUCUUGUUUUUAUUAUUUUUUUGAAAAAUUUUAUUUAUAGUUUAUUGUACUGUAGGGGAAUUUGUUUUAUAAAAUAAAAGAAAAUUUAAUUUGUUGUACCUUGUGUAUCAGGGUUAAUUAAUUUAUUAAUCUCGGAUUUUAAGGAGUUAUUUUUAAUGUAGCAUAAUUAUUUUUUACAUAUUGAUGGAAAUGAAACGUUAUUCGUCUUAAAUUUUAUCUAGUUGUUCAAGAAAUUAAUUUAAUUAAUUUAGGGUGAGUUAUAAUUUGGGGAUAAGCUUGCAACUUUAUUUUUAUAAGGUGUUAAUUAAAGAAUUUUAGUAGGAUUAGAAAUUUUUAACUUUAAUUUGUUGUAAUUAGGAACUUUAAAUUAUUUAUUGAACUAUUAAAUUUAAUUUAUUAAUUUAAGUUAUUAUGAUUAAAAUAGUAAGAUGACAUUAAGGAAUUCUGCAAUUUAAGUGUUCACCUGUUUAAUAAAAACAUGGCCUUUUGAUUAUAAUUUAAGGUCUAGCCUGCCCACUGAUUAAAUGGCCGCAGUAUUCUAACUGUGCAAAGGUAGCAUAAUAAUUAGUUUUUUAAUUGAAAGCUGGUAUGAAUGGUUUGAUGAGACACUAUCUGUCUAUGGAACUUUAUUUUUCAGUGAAAAAGCUGAAAUUUUGUAUGAAGACGAGAAGACCCUAUAGAGUUUUUUUGUUGGGGUGAUGAGAAAAUUUAAUUAACUUUUUUUAUAUAUGGUUACUUGAUCCUAGAUUAAAAGAUUAAAUUACCUUAGGGAUAUCACCGA
rnacentral:rRNA from 1 species